rnacentral:rRNA from 1 species
CACGUAGGCACCAAGCGUUGUCCGGAUUUAUUGGGCGUAAAGAGCUCGUAGGCGGCUUGGCAAGUCGGGUGUGAAACCUCCAGGCUCAACCUGGAGACGCCACUCGAUACUGCUAUGGCUAGAGUCCGGUAGGGGACCACGGAAUUCCUGGUGUAGCGGUGAAAUGCGCAGAUAUCAGGAGGAACACCGAUGGCGAAGGCAGGUCUCUGGGCAUUAACUGACGCUGAGGAGCGAAAGCAUGGGGAGCGAACAGG